UACAGAGGUCUCAAGCGUUGUUCGGAAUUACUGGGCGUAAAGGGUGCGCAGGCCGCGCGGGCAGUCAAAUGUGUAAUUCAGGGGCUCAACCCCCUGCACUGCGCUUGAUACUUCCGCGCUCGAGCUUUGGAGAGGAGUCUGGAAUUCUCGGUGUAGCAGUGAAAUGCGUGGAUAUCGAGAAGAACACUUAGGGCGAAGGCAAGACUCUGGACAAAAGUGCUGACGCUCAUGCACGAAGGCUAGGGUAGCGAACGGGG
rnacentral:rRNA from 1 species